rnacentral:rRNA from 1 species
AAGGUAACGGCUUACCAAGGCAACGAUGCAUAGCCGACCUGAGAGGGUGAUCGGCCACACUGGAACUGAGACACGGUCCAGACUCCUACGGGAGGCAGCAGUAGGGAAUCUUCCGCAAUGGGCGAAAGCCUGACGGAGCAACGCCGCGUGAGUGAUGAAGGUCUUCGGAUCGUAAAACUCUGUUAUUAGGGAAGAACAUAUGUGUAAGUAACUGUGCACAUCUUGACGGUACCUAAUCAGAAAGCCACGGCUAACUACGUGCCAGCAGCCGCGGUAAUACGUAGGUGGCAAGCGUUAUCCGGAAUUAUUGGGCGUAAAGCGCGCGUAGGCGGUUUUUUAAGUCUGAUGUGAAAGCCCACGGCUCAACCGUGGAGGGUCAUUGGAAACUGGAAAACUUGAGUGCAGAAGAGGAAAGUGGAAUUCCAUGUGUAGCGGUGAAAUGCGCAGAGAUAUGGAGGAACACCAGUGGCGAAGGCGACUUUCUGGUCUGUAACUGACGCUGAUGUGCGAAAGCGUGGGGAUCAAACAGGAUUAGAUACCCUGGUAGUCCACGCCGUAAACGAUGAGUGCUAAGUGUUAGGGGGUUUCCGCCCCUUAGUGCUGCAGCUAACGCAUUAAGCACUCCGCCUGGGGAGUACGACCGCAAGGUUGAA